GACGAACGCUGGCGGCGUGCUUAACACAUGCAAGUCGAACGGUAAGGCCCUUCGGGGUACACGAGUGGCGAACGGGUGAGUAACACGUGGGUGAUCUGCCCUGCACUUCGGGAUAGGCCUGGGAAACUGGGUCUAAUACCGGAUAGGACCACUGCCUGCAUGGGUGGUGGUGGAAAGCUUUUGCGGUGUGGGAUGGGCCCGCGGCCUAUCAGCUUGUUGGUGGGGUGAUGGCCUACCAAGGCGACGACGGGUAGCCGGCCUGAGAGGGGGACCGGCCACACUGGGACUGAGAUACGGCCCAGGCUCCUACGGGGGGCAGCAGUGGGGAAUAUUGCACAAUGGGCGCAAGCCUGAUGCAGCGACGCCGCGUGAGGGAUGACGGCCUUCGGGUUGUAAACCUCUUUCAGCACCGACGAAGCGCAAGUGACGGUAGGUGCAGAAGAAGGACCGGCCAACUACGUGCCAGCAGCCGCCGUAA
rnacentral:rRNA from 1 species